GGAGUACCUCGUGGCGUGGGGCGAGCCGUGCUUCUGACCCCAGUCCAAUGCUCUCGAUACCACGCAACCAACCUCACCCUCGCCCCUAACCAAAACCCCUCAUUUUAGUAGUGGGAAAAUAGUAGGGUGGAGGGACGUGGCCGGGUCCUCCUCUCGCAUAGCCCUCAGAGCCUGGACCCCCGGCUCUUCCGCGAACCCUAGUGUUUGCGGGCACAAGGCUCUAGAGUCCGGAUCGGGCAGUGGCUGAUGUGGGUGCAUCGGGACUCCUCGUGUUCCUAACGAGAAGUGUGCGCCCUGCACAUUGGGGGGAGGUGGGGGGGGGGGUCCGUUCAUCUCGGGGAAGGGCAUCUCUUCGUUUAGCGCUCACGGCCUCCGGGAGAAAGGACCUUUCCCGGAGGUCGGCGUGGAUUGAACGCCCUGGCCUCAAUGGGGCCGCGGUUUCCUCUCCUGGUGGCCGCGCUGGGCAGCUGCCUGCUUCCUGCCCUGGGUUGUCUCUGGUGUGAUCAAAGGGUCGUGGAGGCUCUAAAAUCCUUGGAGACGGAUUACUUGCCCGACCACUUGGGGGCUGAGCAUCACAAACACCUGAUGGAAAAGUUAGAGAAUGCCGUGAAGGAUUUCAAGAACCUGGAGCUUGAGGACGACGAAUCCUUUCUGGAGGUCGUGGAUGAUGCCACACUGGAAAAGGGAACCUGGAGUUUUCUGAAGGAACUGAAACGCAUCACGGACAGUGAUGUAAAAGGUGAGCUCCUCGUGAAGGAGCUGUUCUGGAUGUUGAAGCAGCAAAAGGAGACCUUUGGCAGACACGUUUCUCUGUUCCAAAAAGAUGCUCUCUGUCCCAACAAAUGCGGUAUGAUGUUGCAGACUCUGACCUGGUGCGAUUCCUGCGAGAAGAAGCUUCACGCUUGUCGGAAGAACAUGGAUUGCGGGGAGCGCAGAGUCAAUGUCCAUGAAAUGGAAGACAUGAUCCUGGACUGUGAGCUCAACUGGCAUCCCAUCUCUGAAGGCCUGACUGAUUACACCUUUUACAGGGUUUGGAAGAACAAAUCUGAGAGCAUGGUGUACAAGGGGACAGCGCCCACCCUGACCAAGACCAGGGCGACGCCGUCGGAUGCGGGCAUCUACCGCUGCCAGCUGAACACCGUGAAAAACAGCCCCGCCACAAUCAUCCGUUAUCAUGUCAGAGUGUUGCCCAAAAGAGUUGUGGAGGAGACGCCGUCCACAAACAUCAUCCCAAACCCGGAGGAUGUGACCCUGGAUGAGGUGACUUGGACGCCCAACAAGUCGGCCACCACCAUCCCGCCUCCUCCGUCGUCGCCGUCUUCCGCGGCUCAGUCCCCGACGGUGGAGAACAUGCUGAGAAGCCUCCUGGUCGGGCUGCUGAUCUGGGGCUUUGUGGUGCUGAUAGCCAGCAUUGUCAUCUUGUGAGCAGCCUGCAGAGAAAGGCAGGGCUUGGCGUGAGGGGCGGGACUUCCAGUCCAGAGGAUGCUCUGCUAUUGGUCCGAGAAGAAUCCUGGAUACUUCAUUGAUUCCAUAAAGUCCUGGGUCAGCACUGCCAAGGAGGCAGCUCAGAGCCCCAACGUCCCAGAGAAAAAGGACAAAAAAUCUAGGAGCCAAU